CCUACGGGAGGCAGCAGUGGGGAAUAUUGCGCAAUGGGCGAAAGCCUGACGCAGCGACGCCGCGUGAGGGAUGAAGGUCUUCGGAUCGUAAACCUCUGUCAGAAGGGAAGAAACUAGGGUGCUCUAAUCAUCAUCCUACUGACGGUACCUUCAAAGGAAGCACCGGCUAACUCCGUGCCAGCAGCCGCGGUAAUACGGAGGGUGCAAGCGUUAAUCGGAAUCACUGGGCGUAAAGCGCACGUAGGCUGUUAUGUAAGUCAGGGGUGAAAUCCCACGGCUCAACCGUGGAACUGCCCUUGAUACUGCACGACUUGAAUCCGGGAGAGGGUGGCGGAAUUCCAGGUGUAGGAGUGAAAUCCGUAGAUAUCUGGAGGAACAUCAGUGGCGAAGGCGGCCACCUGGACCGGUAUUGACGCUGAGGUGC
rnacentral:rRNA from 1 species